GACUGACUCGGCACGGUGCGUUCAGCCAUCCCCGCCCGUCUCCUUCCCCGGUCCUCUCCUACACACUGCGUGAGUGAGCGUGUGUGCCAACGUGAGUGCGAAGGCGUGCGCCAAACGGUUUCAAACGAAAUCCAUUGCGGUGCUACUGCCGCCUCACUCCACCGUUUCAGCAGUCGAGAGAAGGGUUCGUUUUUGGGGAAACAUUUGUGCGGCGAUUACAAGACCGUGAAAGUAAGCGCGCACGCUGCGUUGACCUGGCGCAGGCUUCUUCGCGGUUUGACUAUCCAGCGCUCCUCCAUGCGGACAGCGGCUCCGCAGUGAGACGAGCGACGGCAGGACAGUGCAGCGGACAGCGAACGAUGUCGGAGAGGGAAGUCCAGGAACACCAAUCCCUGCAGUGGCCUAAACUAGAGCAGGAUCUGCCUCACAUGGUCCCUGAGAGAAGCGUAAGACACUGGUCAUUCACCAUGGAGAGGGAGGGGCGGACCUGCAGUACACUGCUUGGGCAGUGGAGAUCUGAAGAGCACUUUCUGGUCCAGAGAUGAGCAGAAAACAGAUAACACUGGAGCAGCAUCAGACUGUACACAUUGCUAAGUCUGAGCCUCUUCAGAAUCGCCCCCUCUUCCUACCC